UCCGAGUUGACCCCGGCAGUCUCCCGUGAGUCCCCACCACCCCGAAAGGGCGUGCUGGCAACACAGGACAAGGGUUGCGCUCGUUGCGGGACUUAACCCAACAUCUCACGACACGAGCUGACGACAGCCAUGCAGCACCUGUCCUGGUGUCCCGAAGGAGGGCCCCUGUUUCCAGGGGCUUUCACCAGGGUGUCAAGCCCAGGUAAGGUUCUUCGCGUUGCAUCGAAUUAAGCCACAUGCUCCACCGCUUGUGCGGGCCCCCGUCAAUUCCUUUGAGUUUCAUUCUUGCGAACGUACUCCCCAGGUGGUAUGCUUACUGCGUUAACUGCGUCACCGAUCCGCAAGCGGACCAACAACUAGCAUACAUCGUUUACAGCGUGGACUAC
rnacentral:misc_RNA from 1 species